UUGUAUUAGUCAGAAUCUGAUCAUCAUAACCAAAUUGACCGACGCCCCACCUAAGUAUUCGGGCACUGAAAGUUAAUAGAGCCCACUCUAUUUUUCCUCUCUGACAUCCGACGAGUCGGUAAGAGUGGCGCCUAAAAUCAUGAGUAAGACACAUUGACGGUAAGAGGACAUUGAGUCAAGCAAAGGGCAAAGAUGCCUUGACUAUAUAUAGCCAAGGAAAGCUUUCAACAAGGGGGCUCCUCCUCCUAUCUCUUUUUAAAAAACAAAAAGCUCUCUUCUUGAUAGAGAAGAAGUGGCCUCUAAGAAAAUAUGUAAA
rnacentral:lncRNA from 1 species